AACGCACCUUGCGCCCUUUGGUAUUCCGAAGGGCAUGCCUGUUUGAGUGUCAUUUAUAUUCUCAACUUCAAGAAUAAUAUAUUUUUGAAGCUUGGACUGUGGAGGGCUUUGCUGGCAAUGAUCAUUUUGUUGGCUCCUCUUAAAUGCAUUAGCAGAACCUUUGAAUGAAAAAAAGGAUCAGCUCUGGUUUUGAUAAUUAAUAUCUAUAUGCCGUUGCUGAGAUGUUUUUCUGUUCAGCUUUCUAAUAGUCUUCGGACUGUCUCUCUCUCUAUAUAAGAGGGCAUAUACAUAUAAAGCUUGAUCUCAAAUCAGGUAGGAUUACCCGCUGAACUUAA
rnacentral:misc_RNA from 1 species